rnacentral:rRNA from 1 species
AGUGAACGCUGGCGGUAUGCCUAACACAUGCAAGUCGAACGGCAGCACAGUAAGAGCUUGCUCUUACGGGGUGCGAGUGGCGGACGGGUGAGGAAUACAUCGUAAUCUACUUUUUCGUGGGGGAUAACGUAGGGAAACUUACUCUAAUACCGCAUACGACCUACGGUGGAAGGCAUUGGAUCUUCUGACCUUGCGCGAUUGAAUUAGCCGAUGUCGGAUUAGCUAGUUGGGGGGGUAAAGGCCCACCUAGUCGACGAUCCGUAGCUGGUCUGAGAGAAGGAUUAGCGACACUGGAACUGAGACAGGGUCAAGAGUACUAAGGGAGGGAGCAGUGGGGAAUAUUGGGCAAUGGGCGGGAGCAUGAUCCAACGAUCGCGCGUGGGUGGAGAAGGCCCUCGGGUUGGAAUGACCGUCUGUUGGGAAAGAACAGCUGCAGGUUAAUACCACGCUGUUGUGACGGUAACCAAAGAAUAAGCACCGGCUAACUUCGUG